rnacentral:rRNA from 1 species
AACGAACGCUGGCGGCAGGCCUAACACAUGCAAGUCGAGCGAAGCCUUCGGGCUUAGCGGCGGACGGGUGAGUAACGCGUGGGAACGUGCCCUUUGGUACGGAAUAGCCCCGGGAAACUGGGAGUAAUACCGUAUGUGGUCGAGAGACGAAAGAUUUAUCGCCAAAGGAUCGGCCCGCGUUGGAUUAGGUAGUUGGUGGGGUAAUGGCCUACCAAGCCGACGAUCCAUAGCUGGUUUGAGAGGAUGAUCAGCCACACUGGGACUGAGACACGGCCCAGACUCCUACGGGAGGCAGCAGUGGGGAAUCUUAGACAAUGGGGGAAACCCUGAUCUAGCCAUGCCGCGUGAUCGAUGAAGGCCUUAGGGUUGUAAAGAUCUUUCAGUGGGGAAGAUAAUGACUGUACCCACAGAAGAAGCCCCGGCUAACUCCGUGCCAGCAGCCGCAGUAACAC